AUGGAUUGGUCGGGGCUACCGGCUGGCAAGUUCGAUCCCACGGAUCAAGAGCUGAUCAAGCACCUUGAGGCCAAAGUGAGUGCUGACAACACGAGAUCCCACCCUCUCAUCGAUUUGUUCAUACCGACCAUCGACAACGAGCACGGCAUAUGCUACACCCAUCCUAAGAAACUUCCAGUCGGAGUGCGGCAUACACGUGAUGUAGCACAAGACCGGCAAUACCAUGUCGGUGAUGGUCAACGGCCGGCAAACGGGCAUCAAAAAGGUUCUGGUGCUGCACACCAAGAAGAACUUCAACCAGCAGAGGACCAACUAGGUGAUGCACCAGUACCACCUCCGGGACCUGGAUCAAGAGAAGGAGCGGGCGCUGGUCAUCUGCAAGAUUUUCUACCAUACGAACACUAG
rnacentral:rRNA from 1 species